GACGAACGCUGGCGGCGUGCUUAACACAUGCAAGUCGUACGGUAAGGCCCUUUCGGGGGUACACGAGAGGCGAACGGGUGAGUAACACGUGAGUAACCUGCCCACAACUUUGGGAUAACGCUAGGAAACUGGUGCUAAUACUGGAUAUGUGCUCCUGCUGCAUGGUGGGGGUUGGAAAGCUCCGGCGGUUGUGGAUGGACUCGCGGCCUAUCAGCUUGUUGGUGGGGUAGUGGCCUACCAAGGCGGCGACGGGUAGCCGGCCUGAGAGGGUGACCGGCCACAUUGGGACUGAGAUACGGCCCAGACUCCUACGGGAGGCAGCAGGGGGGAAUAUUGCACAAUGGGCGCAAGCCUGAUGCAGCAACGCCGCGUGCGGGAGGACGGCCUUCGGGUUGUAAACCGCGUUCAGCAGGGACGAAGCUUUUUGUGACGGUACCUGCAGAAGAAGCACCGGCUAACUACGUG
rnacentral:rRNA from 1 species